UGCCAUGUGGCCUAAUGGAUAAGGCAUCUAACUUUGGAUCAGAAGAAUGCAGGUUUGAAUUCUGCUGCAGUUG
rnacentral:tRNA from 1 species